rnacentral:rRNA from 1 species
UACGGAGGGUGCAAGCGUUGUCCGGAUUUAUUAGGUUUAAAGGGUGCGUAGGCGGCUAUCUAAGUCAGUGGUGAAAUCCUGCAGCUUAACUGUAGAACCGCCAUUGAUACUGGAUGGCUUGAGUACAGACGAGGUAGGCGGAAUUUAUGGUGUAGCGGUGAAAUGCAUAGAUACCAUAAAGAACACCGAUUGCGAAGGCAGCUUACUAGGCUGUAACUGACGCUGAGGCACGAAAGUGUGGGGAUCAAACAGG